rnacentral:rRNA from 1 species
AUACAAUAUGAAGGCCGUACGCGGCUGGAUUAUUUUAUUACCCUUGUCUUUUGCGCACUUGUUGUUUCCUGGGCGGGUUCGCCCGCCACCAGGACCACACCAUAAACCUUUUUUAUGCAGUUGCAAUCAGCGUCAGUACAACAAAUGUAAAUCAUUUACAACUUUCAACAACGGAUCUCUUGGUUCUGGCAUCGAUGAAGAACGCAGCGAAAUGCGAUACGUAGUGUGAAUUGCAGAAUUCAGUGAAUCAUCGAAUCUUUGAACGCACAUUGCGCCCUUUGGUAUUCCAAAGGGCAUGCCUGUUCGAGCGUCAUUUGUACCCUCAAGCUUUGCUUGGUGUUGGGCGUUUUUUGUCUUUGGUUGCCAAAGACUCGCCUUAAAACGAUUGGCAGCCGGCCUCCUGGUUUCGCAGCGCAGCACAUUUUUGCGCUUGCAAUCAGCAACAGAGGGCGGCACUCCAUCAAGACUCCAUUUCACGUUUGACCUCGGAUCAGGUAGGGAUACCCGCUGAAC